rnacentral:lncRNA from 1 species
GAAAAUUAGAAAUAAUAAUAAUCUACUAAAUGAAACAAACAUAGAUCGUCUUCUCCCUAACCCAAAACCUAAAACUAGCGAUCCUCCCAAAAUGUACUUCCUUUUCAGAGGGGUCAGUUGGGAUCACGAAAACAAACAAAAUUGUGUUUUUCGUUUCAGAAGGGACGUGCGACGGUGCCGUUCAGGGAGGUCUCGGUGGUGCCAUUUAGGGAAGUCGCGGCGGUACCAACUAUGAAGGUGAGUUUUUUCUUUUUUCUAUUUUUGUUCUCUGAUGGAAAAAAGGUUUGGGUUUUUUAUUUUAUUUUAUUUUGUAUCUUCUAAUUAUUUUAUAAUUGCGAGGUUGAAUAAAACAAAACGACAACAAAAAUAAAUAAAGUAAAGAUAAAACAAAUUUAGAUUUUAUUUUUAAAGGUAUAACAAUAAGAACUAUUUUAUUUUUUAUUUUUAAAGGUAUAACAUCAAGAACUAUGAAAUCAUGAAACUAGGAAAAAUGGAAUUUAGAGAUACUUACCACACACAAGUUAGACAUUUGUUUCAUUGUUGUGAUCUUUGCUAUGACAAAUAUUUAUUUAUGUUUUGAAUUAGUGUAUUCUUCUAGCCCUCAUCUCAUAUUUCAGAAUACUCAUUAUUUUUUAGAAAGAAAAACAAAUAUCUUUUACUCAUCUAAACAAUGGAAUCCUCAUCUUUUUGAAAAACAAAACUCUAUUUAUAGAGUUUUUUUUUAAUUGUUAGUUGCUUUCUUUGUAUGUGUCUCUCUUUGAGCUUUCAAUUAGUUCUCUAUUUGAUGCUUCAUUUUUUUUCUCAUAAUUUGAGUUCUUCUGCACAUAUGACCCAUUCACAAUUUUAGCCUAUUUAUUUUUAUCUGAUUAUCUUCAUCUGUUGGACAGAGCUGGUUUGUUGGCCUAAAUAGUUUUUUAAUUUGCAACUUUGGGUCUUAAUUUUGUAUAUGGAUUCAACAACAAUUAUCUUUUAGUUUGUGUUUCAAACUCAUAAUUUUGUCUCUUUGCUCUGUAUCACGUGGACAACGGUUAAGGGCAAAGGGAAUGACUAAGGACAAAAGGAAUUUUUUUUUCAUUAAUUAAUUCAUUACAUAUCAUUUUUUACCAUAUUUUAUAUUAAAUCUUUAGUUAUAAAAUUAUCAUUUUUUCAAUUAGUUUAAACACUCUAAUUAGUUACAACAAGUACAUGAAUAGUUACAAUAGAUACAUAAAAGGAGAAACCAAAGACAAAACAAAGUCAAAGACUCUCUUUUAUUUCUAUUUUAUAUAUUUGUUUUUUGUAUUAUGAAUAUAUAUAUAUAUAUAUAUACAUAUUAAAAUUUCAUAAAUAAAUAAAAUAAUGACAUAAUAAAAUUGAUAUAUUAUUAGUAUAAUUUAUUAGGAUAGACAAAAUUGGAGUACUACAAACUUCAAUCAUCAUUGUUGUUGUUUAUUUGUUGAUUCAUGAUUUUAUUAAGAACUAUGUUGUUGCUAAUAAUAUAUGUUGAUUUAGGUGUAAAAUGAUUAUGUGUUGUAUUGUUACUGAACAAAGAAAGAAGCAAUGCAAGGAGAUCAUGAAAUUCAGUACGUAAGGUUGAAAAUUGAACGUGGAUUAAAGAAGAAUAUCUUGCACUUGUAUCAGUAUCGAUAAUAGUACGUACCCAAACCUAGGAGUGUUCGCGGGUUGAGUUGAGGCGGUUUUGACAAAAUCUAAUAUCCGGCCUGAUCGAUUAUCUUUGGGUUGGAUAAAGUUAUAAACACGUAUUUUUUUCAUUUAACCCGAACCUGUAACACCCCGUUUUUCAAAGCGAGGGUAUAUUUUUUUUUUUCAAAAGUAAUUAAACUAAAACAGAGAAAUAGAUAAAGAAAUGCCUUUGGAUAAAUAACUGAGUUAUUAAAAUUUACAAGCAGCGGAAAUGUUUCUCCAAUUAUAAAUCCAAAACAUCUACAUAACCAUAAAUGGUACAUGGAACCCAUUCACAUAAGAAGUCGAACUGGCAAUGAUAGUAUAAAUACAGUUUUCCCAAACUAAAAAUACUCCAAUCCAAACAGAAGGACACCUAGUCCCUAUACAUCAUCCUAAUCUGAUCAUCCUACCAAAAAGCUAUACACCCUGAGUAUCUCCACGCGCUCCGUGAGAUCCUCCUAACGUGACUGCAGUCAAACGUUCCCAUCUCCAUUCCCGUCCGUAGGGUACGAACCGGUAAGACCGUCCUGACUCUCAUCUGAGGGCAAAGCCAAGAUUUCCACAAUAAUUGUAAAGGGUCACCAACCAGAAAAUAACAGUUAACACAUAGCAAUUAAGUUUUUAAAUGCUCAAAACAACUUUUCAAUUAAGCAUGCACCUUAACAGGAUUUUCCAUAUGCUAAAAGUUCAUAUAAUGCUUGCCAGAUUUUCAAAACGAAAUGUUAAGCAAACAGACAUAUUAAGAGAUUCCCCAUUCUUAAUACUGAUUUAUCUUAAUGAUUUUCAAAACGAAAUGUUAAGCAAACAGACAUAUUAAGAGAUUCCCCAUUCUUAAUACUGAUUUAUCUUAAUGAUUUUCAAAACGAAAUGUUAAGCAAACAGACAUAUUAAGAGAUUCCCCAUUCUUAAUACUGAUUUAUCUUAAUGAUUUUCAAAACGAAAUGUUAAGCAAACAGACAUAUUAAGAGAUUCCCCAUUCUUAAUACUGAUUUAUCUUAAUGAUUUUCAAAACGAAAUGUUAAGCAAACAGACAUAUUAAGAGAUUCCCCAUUCUUAAUACUGAUUUAUCUUAAUGAUUUUCAAAACGAAAUGUUAAGCAAACAGACAUAUUAAGAGAUUCCCCAUUCUUAAUACUGAUUUAUCUUAAUGAUUUUCAAAACGAAAUGUUAAGCAAACAGACAUAUUAAGAGAUUCCCCAUUCUUAAUACUGAUUUAUCUUAAUGAUUUUCAAAACGAAAUGUUAAGCAAACAGACAUAUUAAGAGAUUCCCCAUUCUUAAUACUGAUUUAUCUUAAUGAUUUUCAAAACGAAAUGUUAAGCAAACAGACAUAUUAAGAGAUUCCCCAUUCUUAAUACUGAUUUAUCUUAAUGAUUUUCAAAACGAAAUGUUAAGCAAACAGACAUAUUAAGAGAUUCCCCAUUCUUAAUACUGAUUUAUCUUAAUGAUUUUCAAAACGAAAUGUUAAGCAAACAGACAUAUUAAGAGAUUCCCCAUUCUUAAUACUGAUUUAUCUUAAUGAUUUUCAAAACGAAAUGUUAAGCAAACAGACAUAUUAAGAGAUUCCCCAUUCUUAAUACUGAUUUAUCUUAAUGAUUUUCAAAACGAAAUGUUAAGCAAACAGACAUAUUAAGAGAUUCCCCAUUCUUAAUACUGAUUUAUCUUAAUGAUUUUCAAAACGAAAUGUUAAGCAAACAGACAUAUUAAGAGAUUCCCCAUUCUUAAUACUGAUUUAUCUUAAUGAUUUUCAAAACGAAAUGUUAAGCAAACAGACAUAUUAAGAGAUUCCCCAUUCUUAAUACUGAUUUAUCUUAAUGAUUUUCAAAACGAAAUGUUAAGCAAACAGACAUAUUAAGAGAUUCCCCAUUCUUAAUACUGAUUUAUCUUAAUGAUUUUCAAAACGAAAUGUUAAGCAAACAGACAUAUUAAGAGAUUCCCCAUUCUUAAUACUGAUUUAUCUUAAUGAUUUUCAAAACGAAAUGUUAAGCAAACAGACAUAUUAAGAGAUUCCCCAUUCUUAAUACUGAUUUAUCUUAAUGAUUUUCAAAACGAAAUGUUAAGCAAACAGACAUAUUAAGAGAUUCCCCAUUCUUAAUACUGAUUUAUCUUAAUGAUUUUCAAAACGAAAUGUUAAGCAAACAGACAUAUUAAGAGAUUCCCCAUUCUUAAUACUGAUUUAUCUUAAUGAUUUUCAAAACGAAAUGUUAAGCAAACAGACAUAUUAAGAGAUUCCCCAUUCUUAAUACUGAUUUAUCUUAAUGAUUUUCAAAACGAAAUGUUAAGCAAACAGACAUAUUAAGAGAUUCCCCAUUCUUAAUACUGAUUUAUCUUAAUGAUUUUCAAAACGAAAUGUUAAGCAAACAGACAUAUUAAGAGAUUCCCCAUUCUUAAUACUGAUUUAUCUUAAUGAUUUUCAAAACGAAAUGUUAAGCAAACAGACAUAUUAAGAGAUUCCCCAUUCUUAAUACUGAUUUAUCUUAAUGAUUUUCAAAACGAAAUGUUAAGCAAACAGACAUAUUAAGAGAUUCCCCAUUCUUAAUACUGAUUUAUCUUAAUGAUUUUCAAAACGAAAUGUUAAGCAAACAGACAUAUUAAGAGAUUCCCCAUUCUUAAUACUGAUUUAUCUUAAUGAUUUUCAAAACGAAAUGUUAAGCAAACAGACAUAUUAAGAGAUUCCCCAUUCUUAAUACUGAUUUAUCUUAAUGAUUUUCAAAACGAAAUGUUAAGCAAACAGACAUAUUAAGAGAUUCCCCAUUCUUAAUACUGAUUUAUCUUAAUGAUUUUCAAAACGAAAUGUUAAGCAAACAGACAUAUUAAGAGAUUCCCCAUUCUUAAUACUGAUUUAUCUUAAUGAUUUUCAAAACGAAAUGUUAAGCAAACAGACAUAUUAAGAGAUUCCCCAUUCUUAAUACUGAUUUAUCUUAAUGAUUUUCAAAACGAAAUGUUAAGCAAACAGACAUAUUAAGAGAUUCCCCAUUCUUAAUACUGAUUUAUCUUAAUGAUUUUCAAAACGAAAUGUUAAGCAAACAGACAUAUUAAGAGAUUCCCCAUUCUUAAUACUGAUUUAUCUUAAUGAUUUUCAAAACGAAAUGUUAAGCAAACAGACAUAUUAAGAGAUUCCCCAUUCUUAAUACUGAUUUAUCUUAAUGAUUUUCAAAACGAAAUGUUAAGCAAACAGACAUAUUAAGAGAUUCCCCAUUCUUAAUACUGAUUUAUCUUAAUGAUUUUCAAAACGAAAUGUUAAGCAAACAGACAUAUUAAGAGAUUCCCCAUUCUUAAUACUGAUUUAUCUUAAUGAUUUUCAAAACGAAAUGUUAAGCAAACAGACAUAUUAAGAGAUUCCCCAUUCUUAAUACUGAUUUAUCUUAAUGAUUUUCAAAACGAAAUGUUAAGCAAACAGACAUAUUAAGAGAUUCCCCAUUCUUAAUACUGAUUUAUCUUAAUGAUUUUCAAAACGAAAUGUUAAGCAAACAGACAUAUUAAGAGAUUCCCCAUUCUUAAUACUGAUUUAUCUUAAUGAUUUUCAAAACGAAAUGUUAAGCAAACAGACAUAUUAAGAGAUUCCCCAUUCUUAAUACUGAUUUAUCUUAAUGAUUUUCAAAACGAAAUGUUAAGCAAACAGACAUAUUAAGAGAUUCCCCAUUCUUAAUACUGAUUUAUCUUAAUGAUUUUCAAAACGAAAUGUUAAGCAAACAGACAUAUUAAGAGAUUCCCCAUUCUUAAUACUGAUUUAUCUUAAUGAUUUUCAAAACGAAAUGUUAAGCAAACAGACAUAUUAAGAGAUUCCCCAUUCUUAAUACUGAUUUAUCUUAAUGAUUUUCAAAACGAAAUGUUAAGCAAACAGACAUAUUAAGAGAUUCCCCAUUCUUAAUACUGAUUUAUCUUAAUGAUUUUCAAAACGAAAUGUUAAGCAAACAGACAUAUUAAGAGAUUCCCCAUUCUUAAUACUGAUUUAUCUUAAUGAUUUUCAAAACGAAAUGUUAAGCAAACAGACAUAUUAAGAGAUUCCCCAUUCUUAAUACUGAUUUAUCUUAAUGAUUUUCAAAACGAAAUGUUAAGCAAACAGACAUAUUAAGAGAUUCCCCAUUCUUAAUACUGAUUUAUCUUAAUGAUUUUCAAAACGAAAUGUUAAGCAAACAGACAUAUUAAGAGAUUCCCCAUUCUUAAUACUGAUUUAUCUUAAUGAUUUUCAAAACGAAAUGUUAAGCAAACAGACAUAUUAAGAGAUUCCCCAUUCUUAAUACUGAUUUAUCUUAAUGAUUUUCAAAACGAAAUGUUAAGCAAACAGACAUAUUAAGAGAUUCCCCAUUCUUAAUACUGAUUUAUCUUAAUGAUUUUCAAAACGAAAUGUUAAGCAAACAGACAUAUUAAGAGAUUCCCCAUUCUUAAUACUGAUUUAUCUUAAUGAUUUUCAAAACGAAAUGUUAAGCAAACAGACAUAUUAAGAGAUUCCCCAUUCUUAAUACUGAUUUAUCUUAAUGAUUUUCAAAACGAAAUGUUAAGCAAACAGACAUAUUAAGAGAUUCCCCAUUCUUAAUACUGAUUUAUCUUAAUGAUUUUCAAAACGAAAUGUUAAGCAAACAGACAUAUUAAGAGAUUCCCCAUUCUUAAUACUGAUUUAUCUUAAUGAUUUUCAAAACGAAAUGUUAAGCAAACAGACAUAUUAAGAGAUUCCCCAUUCUUAAUACUGAUUUAUCUUAAUGAUUUUCAAAACGAAAUGUUAAGCAAACAGACAUAUUAAGAGAUUCCCCAUUCUUAAUACUGAUUUAUCUUAAUGAUUUUCAAAACGAAAUGUUAAGCAAACAGACAUAUUAAGAGAUUCCCCAUUCUUAAUACUGAUUUAUCUUAAUGAUUUUCAAAACGAAAUGUUAAGCAAACAGACAUAUUAAGAGAUUCCCCAUUCUUAAUACUGAUUUAUCUUAAUGAUUUUCAAAACGAAAUGUUAAGCAAACAGACAUAUUAAGAGAUUCCCCAUUCUUAAUACUGAUUUAUCUUAAUGAUUUUCAAAACGAAAUGUUAAGCAAACAGACAUAUUAAGAGAUUCCCCAUUCUUAAUACUGAUUUAUCUUAAUGAUUUUCAAAACGAAAUGUUAAGCAAACAGACAUAUUAAGAGAUUCCCCAUUCUUAAUACUGAUUUAUCUUAAUGAUUUUCAAAACGAAAUGUUAAGCAAACAGACAUAUUAAGAGAUUCCCCAUUCUUAAUACUGAUUUAUCUUAAUGAUUUUCAAAACGAAAUGUUAAGCAAACAGACAUAUUAAGAGAUUCCCCAUUCUUAAUACUGAUUUAUCUUAAUGAUUUUCAAAACGAAAUGUUAAGCAAACAGACAUAUUAAGAGAUUCCCCAUUCUUAAUACUGAUUUAUCUUAAUGAUUUUCAAAACGAAAUGUUAAGCAAACAGACAUAUUAAGAGAUUCCCCAUUCUUAAUACUGAUUUAUCUUAAUGAUUUUCAAAACGAAAUGUUAAGCAAACAGACAUAUUAAGAGAUUCCCCAUUCUUAAUACUGAUUUAUCUUAAUGAUUUUCAAAACGAAAUGUUAAGCAAACAGACAUAUUAAGAGAUUCCCCAUUCUUAAUACUGAUUUAUCUUAAUGAUUUUCAAAACGAAAUGUUAAGCAAACAGACAUAUUAAGAGAUUCCCCAUUCUUAAUACUGAUUUAUCUUAAUGAUUUUCAAAACGAAAUGUUAAGCAAACAGACAUAUUAAGAGAUUCCCCAUUCUUAAUACUGAUUUAUCUUAAUGAUUUUCAAAACGAAAUGUUAAGCAAACAGACAUAUUAAGAGAUUCCCCAUUCUUAAUACUGAUUUAUCUUAAUGAUUUUCAAAACGAAAUGUUAAGCAAACAGACAUAUUAAGAGAUUCCCCAUUCUUAAUACUGAUUUAUCUUAAUGAUUUUCAAAACGAAAUGUUAAGCAAACAGACAUAUUAAGAGAUUCCCCAUUCUUAAUACUGAUUUAUCUUAAUGAUUUUCAAAACGAAAUGUUAAGCAAACAGACAUAUUAAGAGAUUCCCCAUUCUUAAUACUGAUUUAUCUUAAUGAUUUUCAAAACGAAAUGUUAAGCAAACAGACAUAUUAAGAGAUUCCCCAUUCUUAAUACUGAUUUAUCUUAAUGAUUUUCAAAACGAAAUGUUAAGCAAACAGACAUAUUAAGAGAUUCCCCAUUCUUAAUACUGAUUUAUCUUAAUGAUUUUCAAAACGAAAUGUUAAGCAAACAGACAUAUUAAGAGAUUCCCCAUUCUUAAUACUGAUUUAUCUUAAUGAUUUUCAAAACGAAAUGUUAAGCAAACAGACAUAUUAAGAGAUUCCCCAUUCUUAAUACUGAUUUAUCUUAAUGAUUUUCAAAACGAAAUGUUAAGCAAACAGACAUAUUAAGAGAUUCCCCAUUCUUAAUACUGAUUUAUCUUAAUGAUUUUCAAAACGAAAUGUUAAGCAAACAGACAUAUUAAGAGAUUCCCCAUUCUUAAUACUGAUUUAUCUUAAUGAUUUUCAAAACGAAAUGUUAAGCAAACAGACAUAUUAAGAGAUUCCCCAUUCUUAAUACUGAUUUAUCUUAAUGAUUUUCAAAACGAAAUGUUAAGCAAACAGACAUAUUAAGAGAUUCCCCAUUCUUAAUACUGAUUUAUCUUAAUGAUUUUCAAAACGAAAUGUUAAGCAAACAGACAUAUUAAGAGAUUCCCCAUUCUUAAUACUGAUUUAUCUUAAUGAUUUUCAAAACGAAAUGUUAAGCAAACAGACAUAUUAAGAGAUUCCCCAUUCUUAAUACUGAUUUAUCUUAAUGAUUUUCAAAACGAAAUGUUAAGCAAACAGACAUAUUAAGAGAUUCCCCAUUCUUAAUACUGAUUUAUCUUAAUGAUUUUCAAAACGAAAUGUUAAGCAAACAGACAUAUUAAGAGAUUCCCCAUUCUUAAUACUGAUUUAUCUUAAUGAUUUUCAAAACGAAAUGUUAAGCAAACAGACAUAUUAAGAGAUUCCCCAUUCUUAAUACUGAUUUAUCUUAAUGAUUUUCAAAACGAAAUGUUAAGCAAACAGACAUAUUAAGAGAUUCCCCAUUCUUAAUACUGAUUUAUCUUAAUGAUUUUCAAAACGAAAUGUUAAGCAAACAGACAUAUUAAGAGAUUCCCCAUUCUUAAUACUGAUUUAUCUUAAUGAUUUUCAAAACGAAAUGUUAAGCAAACAGACAUAUUAAGAGAUUCCCCAUUCUUAAUACUGAUUUAUCUUAAUGAUUUUCAAAACGAAAUGUUAAGCAAACAGACAUAUUAAGAGAUUCCCCAUUCUUAAUACUGAUUUAUCUUAAUGAUUUUCAAAACGAAAUGUUAAGCAAACAGACAUAUUAAGAGAUUCCCCAUUCUUAAUACUGAUUUAUCUUAAUGAUUUUCAAAACGAAAUGUUAAGCAAACAGACAUAUUAAGAGAUUCCCCAUUCUUAAUACUGAUUUAUCUUAAUGAUUUUCAAAACGAAAUGUUAAGCAAACAGACAUAUUAAGAGAUUCCCCAUUCUUAAUACUGAUUUAUCUUAAUGAUUUUCAAAACGAAAUGUUAAGCAAACAGACAUAUUAAGAGAUUCCCCAUUCUUAAUACUGAUUUAUCUUAAUGAUUUUCAAAACGAAAUGUUAAGCAAACAGACAUAUUAAGAGAUUCCCCAUUCUUAAUACUGAUUUAUCUUAAUGAUUUUCAAAACGAAAUGUUAAGCAAACAGACAUAUUAAGAGAUUCCCCAUUCUUAAUACUGAUUUAUCUUAAUGAUUUUCAAAACGAAAUGUUAAGCAAACAGACAUAUUAAGAGAUUCCCCAUUCUUAAUACUGAUUUAUCUUAAUGAUUUUCAAAACGAAAUGUUAAGCAAACAGACAUAUUAAGAGAUUCCCCAUUCUUAAUACUGAUUUAUCUUAAUGAUUUUCAAAACGAAAUGUUAAGCAAACAGACAUAUUAAGAGAUUCCCCAUUCUUAAUACUGAUUUAUCUUAAUGAUUUUCAAAACGAAAUGUUAAGCAAACAGACAUAUUAAGAGAUUCCCCAUUCUUAAUACUGAUUUAUCUUAAUGAUUUUCAAAACGAAAUGUUAAGCAAACAGACAUAUUAAGAGAUUCCCCAUUCUUAAUACUGAUUUAUCUUAAUGAUUUUCAAAACGAAAUGUUAAGCAAACAGACAUAUUAAGAGAUUCCCCAUUCUUAAUACUGAUUUAUCUUAAUGAUUUUCAAAACGAAAUGUUAAGCAAACAGACAUAUUAAGAGAUUCCCCAUUCUUAAUACUGAUUUAUCUUAAUGAUUUUCAAAACGAAAUGUUAAGCAAACAGACAUAUUAAGAGAUUCCCCAUUCUUAAUACUGAUUUAUCUUAAUGAUUUUCAAAACGAAAUGUUAAGCAAACAGACAUAUUAAGAGAUUCCCCAUUCUUAAUACUGAUUUAUCUUAAUGAUUUUCAAAACGAAAUGUUAAGCAAACAGACAUAUUAAGAGAUUCCCCAUUCUUAAUACUGAUUUAUCUUAAUGAUUUUCAAAACGAAAUGUUAAGCAAACAGACAUAUUAAGAGAUUCCCCAUUCUUAAUACUGAUUUAUCUUAAUGAUUUUCAAAACGAAAUGUUAAGCAAACAGACAUAUUAAGAGAUUCCCCAUUCUUAAUACUGAUUUAUCUUAAUGAUUUUCAAAACGAAAUGUUAAGCAAACAGACAUAUUAAGAGAUUCCCCAUUCUUAAUACUGAUUUAUCUUAAUGAUUUUCAAAACGAAAUGUUAAGCAAACAGACAUAUUAAGAGAUUCCCCAUUCUUAAUACUGAUUUAUCUUAAUGAUUUUCAAAACGAAAUGUUAAGCAAACAGACAUAUUAAGAGAUUCCCCAUUCUUAAUACUGAUUUAUCUUAAUGAUUUUCAAAACGAAAUGUUAAGCAAACAGACAUAUUAAGAGAUUCCCCAUUCUUAAUACUGAUUUAUCUUAAUGAUUUUCAAAACGAAAUGUUAAGCAAACAGACAUAUUAAGAGAUUCCCCAUUCUUAAUACUGAUUUAUCUUAAUGAUUUUCAAAACGAAAUGUUAAGCAAACAGACAUAUUAAGAGAUUCCCCAUUCUUAAUACUGAUUUAUCUUAAUGAUUUUCAAAACGAAAUGUUAAGCAAACAGACAUAUUAAGAGAUUCCCCAUUCUUAAUACUGAUUUAUCUUAAUGAUUUUCAAAACGAAAUGUUAAGCAAACAGACAUAUUAAGAGAUUCCCCAUUCUUAAUACUGAUUUAUCUUAAUGAUUUUCAAAACGAAAUGUUAAGCAAACAGACAUAUUAAGAGAUUCCCCAUUCUUAAUACUGAUUUAUCUUAAUGAUUUUCAAAACGAAAUGUUAAGCAAACAGACAUAUUAAGAGAUUCCCCAUUCUUAAUACUGAUUUAUCUUAAUGAUUUUCAAAACGAAAUGUUAAGCAAACAGACAUAUUAAGAGAUUCCCCAUUCUUAAUACUGAUUUAUCUUAAUGAUUUUCAAAACGAAAUGUUAAGCAAACAGACAUAUUAAGAGAUUCCCCAUUCUUAAUACUGAUUUAUCUUAAUGAUUUUCAAAACGAAAUGUUAAGCAAACAGACAUAUUAAGAGAUUCCCCAUUCUUAAUACUGAUUUAUCUUAAUGAUUUUCAAAACGAAAUGUUAAGCAAACAGACAUAUUAAGAGAUUCCCCAUUCUUAAUACUGAUUUAUCUUAAUGAUUUUCAAAACGAAAUGUUAAGCAAACAGACAUAUUAAGAGAUUCCCCAUUCUUAAUACUGAUUUAUCUUAAUGAUUUUCAAAACGAAAUGUUAAGCAAACAGACAUAUUAAGAGAUUCCCCAUUCUUAAUACUGAUUUAUCUUAAUGAUUUUCAAAACGAAAUGUUAAGCAAACAGACAUAUUAAGAGAUUCCCCAUUCUUAAUACUGAUUUAUCUUAAUGAUUUUCAAAACGAAAUGUUAAGCAAACAGACAUAUUAAGAGAUUCCCCAUUCUUAAUACUGAUUUAUCUUAAUGAUUUUCAAAACAAAACGUUAAGCAAACAGUCAUAUUAAGAGAUUCCCCAUUCUUAAUACUGAUUUAUCUUAAUGAUUUUCAAAACAAAACGUUAAGCAAACAGUCAUAUUAAGAGAUUCCCCAUUCUUAAUACUGAUUUAUCUUAAUGAUUUUCAAAACAAAACGUUAAGCAACAGUCAUAUUAAGAGAUUCCCCAUUCUUAAUAUACUUUUGACUUAAACGAUUUUCACACAAAAUAUUCAGUAAACGAGUCAUUAAGAGAUUCCCCAUUCUUAACACUCAUUUACCGGAACGAUUUUCAAAAACGAUCGUUAAGUAACCGGGACAUUAAGAGAUUCCCCAUUCUCAACGCCCAGUUAACUUAAACCUUUUCCUCAAAUGCACAUUAAGUAAACCGAGGUAUUAAAAGAUUCCCCAUUUUUAAUACUCGUUUAACUCUAAUGGUUUUCAAAUUCCACGGAAACAAACUCAAACAUACUCUCACAUUCAAACCAUAAUUCACAACAACCACACCAAUUAACAAACAUCAAGUAUGGACACGCCAAAUACAACGAACACCAAUCAAAGCAAACAUAACACCCAGAUACAUCAAAUUUCAUUUACUCAUAAUCGUACACGAUGACUUCAAAUUCAUUUACCACGAAACAUUCAUCAUUAUAAACAAAACCUAACUCUAAGGUUUUACCCAUAACGCACUAGUUUCGUUUUUCCCCAAAUCGAUACAUUUAACCCUAACAAAUUCCUUCCCACACAACCACAGAUAAGUCCCUAAUGCAAACUAGAAGUUUGGAAGGAGCCCUUACCUCAACGUUAGCUUUAACGUGCGUUUUCGGUACCGCGAGUAAUUCCGGUAAAAUCUUCGCUCGCAACGCCGCUUCCAAAAUAGUUCACUAGCACCGUAGUGUGUUGGUGAGCAACUUUCCCUUCUAUCUCUUCGAGAAAUGAGGUUUGGAUCUAGAAGAAACGGAGGGGUUUGUGUUUGGAUCUCAAAUACCGUUUUUCUUCGUUUUCGAAUCAAAGAGGAAGAGUGGAGUUGCGAAAUCCUUGUUCUAACUCUCACCCAAUCUUGGGUUACUAGUUUUGAAGAAAAGAAAGCGACGAAAAUGAAAAUGGAAGAAAAGAGAGAAAUUUGGCCGCGGGAGAGGAAGAAGACGAUGGAUUUUCAAUUUUCCUUCCUUUCUUUUUCUUUCCUUUCUUUUUCCUUUCUUCCUUUUUCCUUCCUUCCUUUUAUACUAUUUUCUUUUCCUUUUCCUUCCUUCUAGUUUUCCUUUCUUUUUUCCUCCACCCAAACAUAUAUAGAUAUAAUAAAUAUAACUUAACAAAUAUCUCAAAAUCUAGAUAUUUGUUAAAUUACCGUUUCACCCGAAACGCAUUAAAUUCUCCGUAAAGGAUUCAACGCAGUUAAAUUCAAUUUAUUUAUCGACGAGAAAUUUUAAUUGGCAUCAAAAUAUCUUUUUGAUUAUAAAACUCCAAAAUAUUAUUAACUUUGGCUUAAAAGCCUCCGAGCCAAAAUCCAAAAUACACCAAAAAUACAUAAAUGGUACUUUAAAAUUACGGGUCUUACAGAACCGAACCGACCCGAUCAAUAACGGGUUGAGUUAGCGAGUUAUACAUAAAUAAUAACUUUUUUUUUUUAUUUUACGGAAAAAUUUAUUGAAUGAAAAUAUAUUUAAUACUUCAAUGUCUCAAAAAUUAUAAGAUUUCAAUAACACCAUUCAAUUCUUUAAAAAAGCUAACAACCUUUAACAAAAAAAAAAAAAAAUCCAAUAAUCUUCAAAUACAUAAAUUCAUCAAUACAGUUCAAGGCCAAGCACUUCACAAGUUUCUCAAAUUAUGAGAAAUAAUAGAAAAUCUGCAAAAAUAAAUAUCAAUAAUAAAAAUGAGGAGAUAAAGAAGGAGAAAUAAUAAUAAUAAUAAUAAUAAUAAUAAUAAUAAUAAUAAUAAUAAUAAUAAUAAUAAUAAUAAUAAUAAUAAUAAAGUAAAAUAUGCAUGAAACAAAGCAAUAACAAAUACCUUAAGAUGUAGUAGUGAUUAUGUUAAGCUCAGCAGCAGUCACCUCAACAUCAAUUGAAACUAAUUUAGACAACUCUAAAAUUUUAAAUACAAUACACAAUCUCAUUAGCACACCAAACACUUAAAAGAAUAAACAAAAAUAAAGGAAAAUCAUUUUGAAAGGUAAAAUACAAUAUUCGUACCCAACUCAAUCUUUUAUACUUCAACCAACUCAGUUGCUAAAUCAAUUUUCUUAGGAGAUUUUAUUCAAUUUUGGGUACAAAUCAAAGCUUAAACAAUAGUGACAUUUAAUGAACCACAAAAUGAAUCGAGGAUUAGACCACCUGUACUAAACAUCGACUCAUAUGAUACAGUAGACAUUGGAAUAGCGAAAUUCGUCGUACGUAAGCUUUUACAUAAGAAUUAUUUUUUCUCAUAAAUAUUAUUUAAUUCAAAAAACUUGUAUUUAACAAAUGUAAAAAAUUUAAACUAAAUUUAUCAUAAGCAUAAACUUUCAGUUCAUACCUUCAUUAUGCAAAUCUAUAACAAAAUAUAACAUUUAAAUAAAUAGGCUAAAUUAUAUCUGUGGUCCCUUAACUUAAUUUCAGGUAACGUUUUAGUCCUUUAUCUUUUUUUUUUCCGACUUGGUCCUUUAUUUUAAUUUUAAGUGACAAUUUGAUAUUUUAUGUUUUAAAAUUUCAAUAAUGUUAUCCUUUUUUAUACAAAAAUUCAAAAAAAGAUUUAAUCAAAACUCAUAAAAUUAAUUAUAUUCUUCAAUAUAAUACAAAUUUCAUCAAAUUCGUAACGCAAAUCUUCAAAUAAACUUAUAUUUUCAUACUUUAUUUGAUAUUGUUAGGAAUAAAGGACUACAUCGGGAAAAAAAAAAGAUAAAGGACUAAAACGUUACCUGAAAUUAAGUUAAGGGACCACAGAUGUAAUUUAGCCAAAUAAAUAUCAGUUAUGAGAACCUACAUAACAAAAGAACAACGUGGUGGCAACGCGACUGGUAGAACAAAAGAAGAAGGUGGGCAGCAGUUCUGAGUUUUGCAUUGUUACUUUGUUUUAAUGCAGUGUUGAAUUUUGGUGAGAAAUCAACAUGACCUAUGUGGAGUAUUUCAGCCAUAUCUGGAGUUGUAGAUGUCCUUUUGGAGUUAAACCAAAUGCAAAUGAAAGCUACGAUCCAUAGCUAAAACUUUCAUGAAGACCCCAAAACCAAAUUCGGACUCAAAAGAGGAGAACAAUGCACUACACUCCAGAUAUAAGAUGAUAUGCGCUCAAAGCGCGCCAGAAGCCCAUUUCGCGCUGAAGCCACUGGCAAUCCGCGCCUGAAGCACGUGACGGGUAGCAAAACACAUUAAAACUCACUUUUCUCACUUUUUAGGUAUCAUUUUAACUAUUGGGAAGUUGGGAGACUUGUACCCUAGCAUCGAAACUCAAAGACGAUCGUUUCUAACACCAUUGGAGCAGUUUUAUCAAGAAUCGUUCAUGAAUCUUUCUUGUAAUUCUUCUCUAAUCUCUACCUUUUCUAUCUCUAUCAUGAGUAACUAAACCCUAUUUAUUAGGGAUGAGUAUAACAAGAUGAAACUCUUAUUUUUCUGAUUUGAUUUCUAGUUAUAUGAAUGAGUUUUUUGAAUUAUUUUUCUCAUCUUUGUGCUUAAUGCUUUUUAUUGUUUGAUCAACAUUAAAAUGUUCUACGAUUCGUAUUUUGAAACGUAAGUGGACUUUAUGAAUGCUUGAAAUGAGGAAUUCAUGAAUUUGUAGUCUAGGGAUAGAUGCAGGUCAUGAAACCAAUUAAAUUAGUUGCAUAGACAAUAGUUUAAAAAGAUAAUUAUUGUACGGUAAUGCUUAAUUCUAAUCUUAAAUCCAUUAAGCAAUAUGGGGUUACUUUGGAAUUAAAGGUUUUGUCACUAAGACAUUAGUGCAAGAAUAAUAAAGAGAAUUCGAUAAUAAUUCAACAAAAGAAUUCAGUAACUAGGAUCAAAUUAGACACCAAGGUUGGAUUCAAAGUGAAACUCAUCCUUGCCAUUUUUCUUAUUAUAAAGGAUCAAUUUUAUUACUAUUGUUAAUUUUAAAUAUUAUUACAAUCAAUUUGGGAACUUUUUGUUCAAUUUUAGUAAUUAAAUAUAAUUCGAUAGUAAAACGCAAUCCUUGAGUUGACACUUGGUAUUACCGUUUUAAUUAUUACUUGCAACGAUUCAGUACACUUGCUGAAACGCUAUCAAGUUUUUGGCGCCGUUUCCAAGGAUUACCGUAUCACUAUUGAAUUUAAUUUAUUUACUUAAUUGAAAUUUUUUGCUCUGUAGUAAAAUUUUUGCUUUUAUUUUAAUUUUAAUUUUUACUUUUAUUUUAUUAUAAUGAUGAUAUUCUACUGCAAUUAUAUGAAGAGUGUGAUACUUAUCUUAUAUCUAGUAUAUGUCGCAUGAUUGAAGGGAAAAUCUUGAGAGAUACAUUUUUAAAAUAUCACCCUCAGAUCUCUCAGAUGCAGCCUUUUAGGUGUGAAUUUUGCGAAGAAGAAGAAGAAGAAGAAGAAGAAGAAGAAGAACGAUUACUCCUUGGUUGUCGAAGUCUCACUUGCCAUUUUUUUAUAAAAAAAACUAAAUAAAUUUUGUUCUUACAUGUUUGAUAUCAUUUAGAUAGUUCAUACUCUUUCUUAUUAUCCUAGUUGUGAGCUUUUGAGACUAAAAACUUUAAUUCUUUUUUGUUUGAUUAUCCAGACAUGUGUUAUCCCUUCAUAACUUGCACUAAUUAUGACUUGCAUCACUUGUAAUUUAU